rnacentral:rRNA from 1 species
AGCGGCGGACGGCUGAGUAACACGUAGGAACGUACCCCAAACUGAGGGAUAAGCACCAGAAAUGGUGUCUAAUACCGCAUGUGAUCUUCGGAUUAAAGCUCCGGCGGUUUGGGAACGGCCUGCGCAUGAUUAGCUUGUUGGUGAGGUAAUAGCUCACCAAGGCGACGAUCAUUAGCUGGUCUGAGAGGAUGACCAGCCAGACUGGAACUGAGAACGGUCCAGACUCCUACGGGAGGCAGCAGUAGGGAAUUUUCCACAAUGGGCGAAAGCCUGAUGGAGCAACGCCGCGUGCAGGAUGAAGGCUCUAGGGUCGUAAACUGCUUUUAUAUGUGACGAUAAUGACGGUAGCAUAUGAAUAAGGAUCGGCUAACUCCGUGCCAGCAGCCGCGGUCAUACGGAGGAUCCAAGCGUUAUCCGGAAUUACUGGGCGUAAAGAGUGCGUAGGUGGCAUAGUAAGCGAGUAGUGAAAGCGUUCGGCUCAACCGGAUAAACAUUACUUGAACUACUAAGCUAGAGGAUGAGAGAGGUUAUUGGAAUUCCCUGUGUAGGAGUGAAAUCCGUAGAUAUAGGGAGAACACGAUGGCGUAGCAGAUACUUGAUCAAUCUUGACACUACGCACGAAGGCGUGGGUAGCAAACGGGAUUUAGCAC